GCCUGGGUGGCUCAGUCGGUUGAGCGUCUGACUUUGGCUCAGGUCAUGAUCUCGCGGUUUGUGGGUUCGAGCCCCACGUCAGGCU
rnacentral:tRNA from 2 species